AGCAGCUUCAAGUUUUUCGCCGCGUGUUUCUGGUACGAAAACAACUUCUUUAUCUAAUUUCUUAGAUAAGUCUUCAGCAACUGGGCGUAAAGUUAAUUUUGCUUUAUCACUUUCUUCUUUUACUUUACCUAAAUGUGAAAAUAGUACGAUUUUACCACCUUGUUCGAUGAUGUAUUGAAUUGUAGGUAAAGCUUGAACGAUACGGUUGUCAUUAGUAAUUUCACCGUCUUUUAAAGGUACGUUAAAAUCAGCACGUACUAGGACUGUUUUACCUUUAAGAU
rnacentral:sRNA from 1 species